rfam:Bacillus sp. OxB-1 DNA, complete genome.
AGUUAAGGAAGGCAGUCUAAGAUCGCCGCGUCCUGCGGCAACGACUGCAUGACCUACUUCCUGUAGG